rnacentral:rRNA from 1 species
CCUACGGGUGGCAGCAGUGGGGAAUAUUGGGCAAUGGGCGCAAGCCUGACCCAGCAACGCCGCGUGAAGGAAGAAGGUUUUCGGGUUGUAAACCUCUUUUCUGGGGGACGAACAAAUGACGGUACCCCAGGAAUAAGCUACGGCUAACUACGUCCCAGCAGCCGCGGUAAUACGUAGGGGGCAAGCGUUAUCCGGAUUUCUUGGGUGUAAAGGGCGGGUAGGCGGGAAUGCAAGUCAGAUGUGAAAACUCAGGGCUCAACCCUGGGCCUGCAUUGGAAACUGUGUAUCUUGAGUGCAAGAGAGGCAAUCGGAAUUCCGUGUGUAGCGGUGAAAUGCGUAGAUAUACGGAGGAACACCAGUGGCGAAGGCGGAUUGCUGGACAGUAACUGACGCUGAGGCGCGAAAGCGUGGGGAGCAAACAGGAUUAGAUACCCGAGUAGUC